AAUAGUAAUGAUUUCCGAGUUAACCGGCCUUAGGCAAUGGCGAUGGCAGUUAACCUGCAGGGUAUAAAUGGAAACGUUUAUGCCUCCCUUUUGGAAAGGAAAUCAUACCUUGUGUGG
rnacentral:ncRNA from 2 species